rnacentral:rRNA from 1 species
GACAGAGGGUGCAAACGUUGUUCGGAAUUACUGGGCGUAAAGCGCGUGUAGGCAGCUCGGAAAGUCGGGUGUGAAAGUCCUGGGCUCAACCUAGGAAGUGCACUCGAAACUUCCGAGCUGGAGUGCUGGAGAGGAAGGCGGAAUUCUCGGUGUAGAGGUGAAAUUCGUAGAUAUCGAGAGGAACACCGGUGGCGAAGGCGGCCUUCUGGACAGUAACUGACGCUGAGACGCGAAAGCGUGGGGAGCAAACAGG